UAGGCGGGGAGUUAGCGGUGCCCUGUACUUGCAAUCCGCUUAAGCAAGGCUGAAUGUCAUUUGCGGUAGCGCUUGUUGUGUGUUGAGUAACACGGUUCUGUGAUGAAGUUAGGGUCUUGUGCAAUAUUGUGCUAUGAACUAUGUCAGAGGCGGGAGUCAGCAGCAUUAAGUGGUCAACAGUAUGUGAUACGAGGUGGCUCUAAUGGAGCAAAA
rnacentral:SRP_RNA from 1 species